UCCUAGUUAACCUAGGCAGUCUCAUUAGAGUUCCCACCAUUACGUGUUGGCAACUAAUGAUAAGGGUUGCGCUCGUUGCGGGACUUAACCCAACACCUCACGGCACGAGCUGACGACAGCCAUGCAGCACCUGUGCACAGGCUCCGAAGAGAGGUAACAUCUCUGUUACUGUCCUGUGCAUGUCAAGCCUGGGUAAGGUUCUUCGCGUUGCAUCGAAUUAAACCACAUGCUCCACUGCUUGUGCGGGUCCCCGUCAAUUCUUUUGAGUUUCAGCCUUGCGACUGUACUCCCCAGGCGGUAUACUUAUCGCGUUCGCUACGGCACAACCAGGGUUGAUUCCGGUUACACCAAGUAUACAUCGUUUACGGCAAGGACUAC
rnacentral:misc_RNA from 1 species